UACGGAGGGUGCAAGCGUUGCUCGGAAUUACUGGGCGUAAAGGGCGUGUAGGCGGUCUCGUAUGUCUGACGUGAAAGCCCCGGGCUUACCCCGGGAAGUGCGUUGGAAACUGCGAGACUAGAGUCCCGGAGAGGAAGGUGGAAUUCCAGGUGUAGCGGUGAAAUGCGUAGAUAUCUGGAAGAACACCGGUGGCGAAGGCGGCCUUCUGGACGGUGACUGACGCUGAGACGCGAAAGCGUGGGGAGCAAACAGG
rnacentral:rRNA from 1 species